GUGACCUGUGCGAAGCAACCGGGGAGCGUUGGAGAAACUCUACGGAAAGUACCCGCCACAUUCAACUAUCGACGCUCUCUGGAAAUUGAGAUUUUAAUCCGUGCGACUGUCAUUUUAUCAAAAGAUAGAGGACUUAAACAUUCAAUUCAUUAUAAUGCAUCGCCAGAUACCUCAGUGGUAAUAUGCGCUUGGCGAAAGUUUCCUUGAAAAUAUGCAAAAAUUUCAUGAGGUCUAUUUACAAAGACAACACCAAUGCUGAUGAUAUGAAGGCUUUUGGUAAAAUGAAAAUGAGACAAAUCUCACUCUGAUUGACAUCCUUAUUCAAUUAAAUUAACAGUAUGUCCUUUACAUCGAAGAGAAAAAUGAUGCUUAACAAAAGUUCUGUCUUCCCGGGCGUCGAUUUAACAUGAUUAUCUAAGAACAAGAAUUAUUUUAGUCGUUAAAAGAAAUUACUUUUUCGGUAGAGCACAAAAUCUAUACGGGAAAUGUUAUUCAUACAAAAGAAAGAAGUACAAUAUGUAAGUAAUUCAAGCUUUUAAGAUUAAGUAAAACCUUAUAAGUUGAGAUACAGAAAGCGACCGAAUUAACAUGCAAAAAGAACUUUGCCUGUUUUUUGUUGCGUAGCGAAAAGCAAGCAAGCAAAGGAAUGAUAUUUGUAUAAGACUAAAAAUAAAAUAAUAAUCGUUAGACAUCUGGUAAAUACCGCAGAAGGAAGGAGAAGAGAUAGUACAAGAAUUAAAGAAAUUUUAAACCGCCCCUGUCUUCCACUCAUCUCCGCAUCGACUUCGCCGUGCGAUACACCUGGCAUGCUGUGGUGUGGCACCGGCAACCCAAGAUGACCCCAGGAAUCCUGGUGACCCUUUUUUGCCUAGCCGCUGCUGUUCGGCCGGGCGUCGGAGAUGAGGCAGAGUACAGACUCACCCGAUACCUGAUGAGUAACUAUGACAAGUCGGUGAGACCUUCUUACAAGGCGGCUGACGCCCUCAACAUCACCUUCGGGCUCGCCCUCACCCAGAUCAUCGACGUGGACGAAAGGAACCAGAUUUUAACAACAAACUGCUGGCUUAAUCAGAUGUGGCUCGACUACAGCCUCCAGUGGAACGCCUCCGACUUCGGCAACAUCCAAGUGAUUCGUCUUCCAGCAGAGAAACUCUGGAAACCGGACAUCAUUCUCUAUAACAAUGCCGACAGCCAGUACAACACAGCCAUCCUGAGCACCAACAUCAUCGUGACGUCAGACGGCAACGUCACGUGGUUAUCGUCGGCGAUCUUCAAGUCGUCGUGUUCGAUCAAUGUCGAAUUCUUCCCGUUCGACGAGCAGAAGUGCGUCAUGAAGUUCGCGUCGUGGACCUACGACGGAUUUCAGGUGAAUCUCGUGAUCCAGACGGAGGAGGGAGACCUCAGCAACUACGUGACGAACGGGGAGUGGGACCUCAUCGACAUGAUAGUGGAGAGAAACGUCGUCUACUAUUCGUGUUGCGAGGCGCCCUACCCGGAUAUCACGUACCACAUAAUCUUAAGGAGACGACCUUUAUUUUACGUGUUCAAUCUGAUUUUGCCUUGCGUGCUCAUCACGGGCAUCGCUCUGAUGAGCUUCUACAUGCCCAGCGACUCUGGAGAGAAGGUGACGCUGGGCAUCACGACGCUGCUCUCCAUGACUGUCUUCCUCAUGGUCAUCGGGGAAUCGAUGCCCCCGACUUCGGAAAAGCUCCCGCUUAUAGGUCUCUAUUAUGGUGUCACAAUUUCCUUGGUCAGCUUCGCCACCGGGCUCUCAGUAGUGACGCUCAACAUCCAUCACCGGGGCAUGAGAGGGCGUGAAGUGCCCAGUUUCGUCAAGAAAAUUGUUUUUAGUUACAUGGCCAAAAUGAUGUGCAUUCGGCUUGACAUACCCGAUCCCAUGGGUGGGCACGGUCAUAAGUUUACCACCAAUAUCAAUCAUAUGGGGGAAGGAUACGGCAGCAUCCGUGAAUACGGCGCGGGCGGAAACGUGGAGAUGAGCGACCGGCUGCUGGACCCUGAGGUCAAAUGUGAAAAUGGGGGCAUCACCCCCUCAAGCAACCCCAGUGAAACGCCCAAACGAAAUCCGAGGACGAGAACAUCCAGUUCGGAUGUGUCAUCUUCAGUUCCACCGGCAUUCAAAAGUCAGGAGUCUCUUCGACGUCACAGCAUCCGAAGACUUGCUACCGGGGGUAGCAUCCACGGCACCGCCCACGCGGCUACUUGUCCGUCCGCCCACAUCGGGAUUGACACCUUCGAGCGCCAUUUCAUCCGGGUACUGAACAAGGUGUAUCAGACCAUAGAGAAAAAUGAGAUACGCCUGGCAGAGCAAGACAGGAGGGACACCAUUAAGCUGGAAUGGCAACAGGUCGCCUUAGUCGUCGAUAGGUUCCUGCUCUGGGUGUUCAUCGUUGCCACCAUCGCUUCGACUUUCGGAAUACUCUACAAGUCUCCUCACACUAAACUCUUCACAGUCUGACGCGCACCUCCUCCCCCUACUCCUCAUCACCCACCAACCCCCAAAAAACAACCCCCAACAAAUCACCAGAUUCGUUAUGCGUUCCCAUCCCGCCCGCAGUCUGUUUGCACCUUCUUGUUCAUAGGUUCCUGUUAUGGAUCUUCAUAAUCGCGACCAUCAGCACUACCUUCGGCAUCAUGUAUAUGUCGCCCCAUACGAAACUCUUCACCAUGUAAAUGGGCUCACCGGCAACUCGUCUUCACAUUCACUACUCUUCCUGCGUGCUUCCUACUCUUUGAUAUAGAUGUUGCCAACGAGAGGAUAUUUGUUGUGAUUUUGGGACACUGUUAAAGGACGCUAUUUUCAAUGAGUAAUCGGCGACCUUCAGUGGAUAUUUUCUUCCUUUUUAACAGUGGUGAUAAAUCGGAGUGCUCAUAAUGAAAAAUUAUUUGUCCCUUCUAGGUAGAGGAUAUGUUACAGACCUACUGUACUGCCAAUUUGAAAUGUCACCAGUGCUCAGGAUACAUUUUUCGAAUGACCUGAAAAUUCAUUUCUUUGACGUGAUAAUAUUAUGUAAAUCACUGGAACUGUCGCGCUGAAUCUUGACCGGCGUGAUGCUGCUGGUGACGAGUACCUUCAGUCUACCAACACCCACAGAAGCAUUAGAAAUAAUAUGAUCUUCUGGUGUGUUUUGUCGCAGUCUGCAAAUUAAUAUCUGACAAUGACCGCGUUGUUUUUUUUUUCUUGUCAAGAAGUAUAGUAUGUUCUUACGCUGUGCCCGGCUUCUCUGUGUGCAGUUGUUAAAUGUUAGUGAUCUUGGGUGUUAUGUUAUCUCAGUAUUAUCCUGACCGUAUGCAAAGCUUUUUUCUAAAACAAAAGUGUUUAACGAUACACGCAUUUAUUCAUAAAAUAAAAUGGUAAAUAUCGCCAGUAGUGAGACGAUCAUAAUUGUAAGUUGCUGUAAUAUUUUUUUUUUACUCUGUACCAUAUUGGUGACGAGUAUAUAUUACUUUGCUGUAUGAAGGAAAAUAACAAAUGCCGUUUUAGGGGAAAUAAAGUUAAUAAAUAGUUGAAAAUAAUGUCAUAAGAAUUUCUUGAUAUUAUUACUCAGGUAGACGAAAUUUUGAGUUAUCAAUAUUGCAAGGUGUAGCCAAGACGACGGUACUACUUAUGCGCUAAAAAUAAGCUAUGCAUUUUUUCACUUUAUUUUUAUUCAGAAAAGAGUAUUGAUAUUGUGAAUGUGUGUUUGAGAGCGCAUUACGAGGCGCUCGUUGUUGCCUGUUACUUUAUUACUGGAUCCUUCAAUGUUGCUUGUACGUAAAAGUACACUGUUCCUUCCAUAGGCUACAAAGGAAUGCGGCAGCGUUGGACCGCUUUUCCUUCAUUUUCUGGCUAAACUCGACCCUUUCUCUAGAUAUGGUCGAUAUAGUAGAUUCUUUAUCCGGGUCCUCUUUGCGCAUCGCCUACGAUGUGCAAUUCCAUUCACAAGUAGAAUUCAUUGUUUCACACCUCUUCUCCAUUUAUAAUUGUCUAUUAUUUCUGCAGGCAUCGUCAUUUUUAACUCUUUUCUAUAAAGACGUUGAGUUGAAAGUCUAAAGCCCAAGGGACACUUCUGUCUUCAAAUCGGAGCUGAAUGGAUAGAGGCGAAUGAUAACGCUUCGCUCCCAGUCAGUAAUAGCCAAAUGACCUCAACUUUGUCUCGGACGACUCCCAGCGUUUGUCUAUAAAUAAUGUGUGUAUGUGUAAGAGUAUAUGUAUGAAAUAUGUGCGUAAGCAAACUGCAUAUAAUCGAUUUUUCAUAACGUAAUUAGCUGGAAUCAAAAUCUAAAUAAGUCUGUCCUGAUUAAAAGAUUCCAGGCUUGCCGACUUUAUAUCCUUUUCACAAUCUCCUUUACAGCAAUAUUCUUAACAAACACAGCCAAACUUUCCAUACCAUGACAAAUAAUGACUUUAAAAACACACAAAACCUAUUGCAAAGAUGACGAUACAGUUAUACUACAGUCUUAGUAAUGAUGGAAAUUCUAAUAUAAAACAAACAUGCCUAAAAAUUCUGAUUGUCAUUAUCAGUAAACUAGGAACUCACUGGUAGAAAUUGUCCUUAAUUUGAAGUUAUCAUACAAGGGAACGACUUAUGACAAGUAAGGAACAUGUACAAAUAACAUAAUAUGCUGUCCACACGCCAUCGCCGCUUCUUAUGUAAAGAAUUACAAUGAAUAUAUGAAAUUUACAUAUGAGACGUCAUAGAUUUUUUUACGGAAACCUUCCCCUUCGAAUUGUGCACCAGUGGUCAGGCAUUUCUAGCUUACUGCUGAUUUUCCUGUUGCUUGAACAUCUACUUCUUAUACAAGGUAGUCCGAGACAAGUUGGCGGCAUUUUUGUCGCCAUUUACUUGUGCGUUGCGCCUCUAUUCAGUCCAGCUCUUAGUUUUUAUUCUCAGUAGAACAGACUCGAACUAGCACAACCAGCUUUAGUGUUUAGAACCAUGCCGUCAAGAUAUCCACUCGGUAUUAUUUUUACGUGUGAAAACCUCUGAGUAAAGAAAUAAUCCUUGCGCAUUUUUCCAUGGUUUUCUAACUUCAUUAUCCAUUUAUAAUUUCCUUCCUUCAUGAGUUGCAUACAAUAAGAGUAAAAUAAACAAACUUUAGGGGAUGCAAUUAUCUUGUAGGAUUCUGAAAAUUUCUCAUCGUGUACUGCAAGUCGUUGAAAAAGACGAGGUAUUUCAACUACGCAAAUCGAGAUCAGCCUUCCCCACCUUCACGCCAUCUUUGAAUUGAAGCACUGCCCCGUUAUGCCAUUCCCAUAAACUAAAAAGAAACGCAGCGGAGAAUUAUAACGCUUAUUUCAAUACAGUCAGCUACACGAAUGCUUCAUCAGCAUAGCUGCCAUCUUCCAAGGCGGGAAAUUCUUUCUCGCGGAGCAAAAUUGGAAAGCAUUCUUCUUCAUCAGUAUUCCCUCGCCACGCCUGGCCUAGUGAAAUAUUCUCGCGGUUAGCUCAGCCAGACUUUUUUUUUUUUUUUUUUUUUUGUAGUUUGCCUGUAUGAUAUACAUUUUAUCUAUUCGUACUUAAAUUUAAUUUCUUCUAUUGCUUUUUUAGUACAGUAUCCCGUCAAAAAAAUCUUUAAUUUAUUCUAAACAAGAUUUAUGGAAAUGGAGACGGAAGAAUAGAAAAGAAUAAGGGAUGGCAGCCAUGAACUUUACUCUAUAUAUCCACAUCCAUUUCAUUUUCGUCUCUGUUCAAUAGCUUUCCUCUGCGUUCCCGUUCAAUGUUUUAUUCCCUGAAAAUAAGAAAUAUAAAAAUGGAAAGACACGGAAAGAAAUUCACCUCGAAAAAGACUGCUGUGUGGAUUCCUUGGCUAAUUGAUCAUCUUCGCCUUGUGAAUUAAUCAUCAUAAUAUCAUUGAAACUCAACGUCAGUCAAAAGGAAGAUCAUAAAAUGAAGUUAACCGAAACGAAACGUCAAAUAAGGUAGUUCUUCUCUCUUUCACCUGCCCUCUAAUUCGCGACAGUUAUUCUAUUCAAUAUUCAAAAUCAGUUUGACUUCGGUCCAUAUCUCAUGAAUUCUCUCUUCGUCAGCAGACAUUUGUUCACAUUUGUGUCUGAUAAUUUUCGUGAAUCUUUUCUGAAUAUUCAUUUUUCCUUAUAAUUUUCAGUUCAUCGUCCAAAAUACAAAGUUUAUUUCCAGAUGAAUUCAGCAACAAGUGACCCAUUUCCAAUUUGUAAAACUUCUUUUCUUAUAUUUUCUGGAAGCAACUCAACAUUUCCAAUCCCUCUUCAACCCAUUUAGCCGUUGUACUUUAAGUUGACUAUUCCUCACACAGUUCUCCCGGAGGAGGAUAGUGCCAUCAGUCCACCUCAUGUGGUGGACUGAUGGCACUAUCCUCCUCCGGGAAAACUAUGUGAGGAGGGGGAGGAGGAGGAUAAACUCCGGGAAAACUAUGUGAGGAGGAGGAGGAGCAUAGUGCCAUCAGUCCACCUCAUGUGGUGCACUGUUUACAGUACUUACGCUUCUUUGAAGCAUCCUUUUGACCCUUAAUUGAAACCACUAUCAUUCAUUUUACUGUACCUCCGCUCGUAUUCUAUAUUCCAUCUUACUUUCCACCCUUUCCUAACAACUGAUUCAUAGGUUUUACUCCUGUUACACCCAUCAAAUAUUUUUACCGUCAAUUUCUGUUUCCGAGCUGAAUGACCUCAUAGGUCCCAGCAUUGGCCUUUGGCCUAAAUUCUAUAUUCUAUUCUAUUCUCUACUGUCACACAGUAUUGACUGUUUCCUGCUUUUCCGCCAGAUAUAACACCUCUGAAGACAAAUUUACAUUUAUGGAUGUUACUUACGGUAAGCCAGUGAUAUGGUUCUCUUAAAAAUUAAAAUUAGGUGGAACCAUAAACCGUUUUUGGUUGUAGAGUCAGGGGCAGUUCUAUCAAUGAGACUCACACUGUUAAUUGAAACUUCUCUUCUUUUUCUGCAAAAAUUAACCCGGUUUCCUUAAAAACUUGUAUGCCUUUCCUUUAUAACUUUGAUUCGUCAUCAUUUUAUUUCAUUUUCAAAAUAUCAUAAUAAUAUAAACAAGAUAGUCAUAAACACUACAGUGUACUGUAAAAGAAACAGCUUCCACAUCUACUGGCUUAUGGAAUAAACUAGGAUAUAGAAUUUAGGCCAAAGGCCAAGAAGCACUGGGAACAAUGAAAUUAUUCAGCGCUGCAACGGAGUUUAACAGGAGAAAAACCUCAAAGCAGUUGCACUAUGAAAUAAUCGUUAGGGGAGGGUGGGUAGCAAGACGGAAGAAAUAUAAUAUGAAUGGAGUCACAGUAUAAGGAAUGAAAGAGGUUGCAGCUAUGGGCAGAAGGGACACUGCAAAGAACCUGUAGUAAUGCCAACAGUGCAUCGAGUGAGGUGCACUGACGGCAUUAACCCCCUACACGGCAGGGACUGAAGGGGCGAUGCAUAGAACCUCAAGUAAUGCCUAAAGAGCACCGCAUGAGGUGCACUGAUGUCAAUACCCCCCUAUGGAAUCUACUCGCUUAUGUAUCAGUUUUGUUCACUGGUUCAUGGGUCGAUGAUUACCCAUCAGGUAUAAAUGCAUGCAGAUGAAUGUGAUGUGUGAAAACAACCAACACAACACGAUCGUUUAUCUGCAAAAAACUUUCAGUAGUAAGAAACCAAUGUGAUUUCUGGUAAGCAGACUAAUUAUGUUUAAUGAUACGACGACUAGGAUGACAUAGGAGGCUAGAUGUUCAUAAGUUUGGUUUUUGUUUAUAUGUUGUCAAUUUUCUGUUAUGAGUUUGUAAGGAAAGUUAUUAUAAUUCUUUCAAUGUGACAAUCAACAUUUUACUUCUUAAUUCACGACCCCACUCCCCCAACCUACCU